UCCCCUAACCAAGCCGCGGGUGAGAUAGGCGGCCAGUGAUUUGUGCCCAUCUGUAAGAGCAAGUCCUACCUUCCGCCAAAAGGCGCGAUGCAUGCACAAAAGAUGGAUCCAGGCUAUCUUUCUCUGCCAUCAGCUCAGGCAAAUAUUUCUCCUCUUCCAUAGCGCGGACUUCGGACCGUCCCCGGGCGAAGCGCAAGGUUCCGCUCGCUCGGACGCAGGGUCGCCGAGCAGCGCCUUGCUCCCGCGCUGCUCCGCCUUCGCCGCGGCGCGGGGAUCUCCGCGCGUCCUCACUGGCCCAUGCACGGAGUGGCUGCGACUCCCGCCGUCGGGCUGAGCGGCCCCGCGCCCACACCUGCCCGUCCCUUCCGUCGUCCCUGGCUCGCUCCGAGCCCCGGCUCACACCAGCGGCCUUAACUGGAGAGGCGGGAACAGGGAGCUCCCCACCUCCGCCAACCAUUCAUUGGUGGCGGCGCAUCGAGAGGCCGGGCCCCCGCGAAAGCUGCGGACUCUCAUUGGGCCGCGCAGCACGUCGGAUCGCCUGACUGGCAGGAGGCAGCUGCAGAGGGGAGGGGAGCGCAGAAGGUGCAAAAGCUUUCUUCUUGCAGCCCAAGCUUUCCCUGGUUAUUAGGCAUGCCCAGUUGUGUGGAGCACUCCGUCUUCGGCUGAGGUGCGGUGAAAGGAGAGAGCGGGAAAAACACCCGUUUAGCAGAGAAGCUCGGGUCCAAGACAGCAAGGGAGGUGGAGAUGAAGACUGAGCGGCUGAGGGAAUGAGAAAGCACCAGGGAAAGUAUCAGAUGUGACAGUGCGUUUCACCAGGUGCUGUGGCUGAGCUACUUUUUAUCUAUCCCACCUCUAUUUAAAGGAGACUUAAACCCUGCAGGUAUGGAAAUGAAGGCGGAGACGGAGAAGUUCAGUGACCCAGAAGUAACAAAUACAAUCUCCUUGGCGCCAUUCAUGUUCAUCCCACCCAGAGACUGAGUGUAUGUUACCAUGGGGCCAUGGUGCACUAAGAAGAUAGUAUGGAGAUCUGUCCGAGGGCUGAUUUUAUUAUACAAUGUCUCUGGAUAUCCAGGUCAUUAUAAAUAUGAAGAAACAUCCUUCUCCCUUCUUUACUCCAUGUGCUCCUUGUGAUGACUGGAGCUCUAGCAGUCAUCAUGGACCAUGAGCUUGAGAAUCAUACCAAAUGGAAAGGCACACAACAAACUUUUUGAAGCAAUGAUUUUUGGGUGGAUUUCUGUUAUUGCAGCCAAUACCUAAUGCAGGAGACGGAUGUAAUCAAAUAAGAGAUAGCAAUAGCCUGUACUAUCACGAUAGUGGAUAUGGAGAGAAAAGGACAUGUUCAAGAUGUAUUUUGAAGGUCGAGAACAAAGGAGUUAACAAUAGACUGGAUAUGGCAGGGUGAGGGAAAUAGAAAUGUCAAAAAUUAAUCCAAGAUAAGUGACCUGAACCACCACGAACAACCAUUUGAUAGAUGGUGUCAUCAUUACUGAAUGGGGACAAACUGAAGAGGCAAGACUUGAGAAGAAAUAAAGACUUCACUUUGGAUGUAUUUCAGAAAUAUGAAGUCCUUCCAUCAUAUUUGUUUUAAAUCUGUGCUAAAUCUAUGAAGCAAUGUAUAUAUACCUUCAGAAAUGAAGGUAUUCACUAAAUUCAUCAUAACAUUCAUAAUUAAUCAUAAUUUCACCAGAAGAUCUAUAACCAUGAGUUUAGGGAUUUUCACUGAACCUGAGCUGUUUCUUUUUUUAUUUUUUUUCCUUUAUCUUACUCAUAAGUAGAUUAAGUUGCAGUGCAAACAUGCCAUUUCCUUUUGGUUGUUAUGUAUUCUAGAGGAAAAAAGAGAACACCCAAACAGGACCUAUAUUUAAACCAGAAGCUUCUCUCAUUUUUCUCUAAAGGGAAUACUAAUGUUUUUGAAAGCUAGUGAUUUACAAUGUUAUCUAAUUCAAACCUUAGUCAUAGGGCUUGUCAUCAUCAUUUUCCAGAUGGGUAACUUAGAGAAGUUAAGAAAUGUCACCAAGGUUACAAAGCUGGAAUAAAGCAGAACAAAAAUUCAAAGCUAAUCUGCCACAUCCCGAGGUCUGUGUUCCUACUGCUAAAAAUUGCUUCUCUCUUGCAUGUUCAUCCUAUAAAUAAAGCCAAACAGAUUCCAAGAUACUGUCUUCAUGCUAAUUAAUUAUAAUAAUGAAACUUCCUUUUGCAAAUAUAUUUACAUAUUUAUCCAUACAUAUUUAUGUAUGUACACUCUGAACAUUUUCUAAUAAAGAACAAUAUAUAAAGAGUUCAACCAGAGUAGAGCUUCUCAUGAGAAACCCUAUAUCUCUUGGUCGCCCCUGGCAUUGAUUAAAUUGAAGUUAAAAAAAUUAUAAUUUAGUUCCAUCUUCAGACAGUCCAUUAUCAAAGCAUAAUGCCUUUUAAAUGAGUUGAAAGAAAAGCCCAUAGGCAGUAAAAAGUAGUAAAAUCAGGAAUGAUAGUCUAGUGUGUGAUAUUUAAAUGAGAAGUAAGAGGAGUAAAUAAAAGGGCACUGCCAAUUCGAGCCAGGAGAAAUUAUAAUACAUCCACCGGGGAAAAGGGUGGAAUACAUUUUUAUAGAAAAAAUAAUAAUUUAGUGAUAUGGGCAAUUCUUUCCCCUAGAAAAUACCCUUCUUUUCCCUUAGGAAAUGUCCUUCAUUUUAAAAUAAAAUAAAGAAAAUUAUAAUAAUUUUCUUUAUCAUAACAAUUAUUCAGUAUCCAGGAGUUUAGUUAUUUUACUAUCCACAUAGUGUAAACCAUCAUGCAAAUUGUUUGUCCUAAGUAUUAGAAUCAAAGGGAAAGGGGUUGUAUAAAAACACAAACUAUAUAAUAUUUACAGUCAUUGGAAACUCAUUAUAUGAAAGAAUUUGCACUUGAUUGAUAAGUAGAUACAAAAGAGAAAUUAAUAGUGUCUUACCUCAAGGAGUUCUCUUCUCAGUGAAA